ensembl:lncRNA
UCUGCCUAUCUCUCUGCCUGUCUCUCUAUCUCUGCCUGUCUAUCUGUCUGUCUCUCUGCCUGUCUCUCUGCCUAUCUCUCUGCCUGUCUCUCUAUCUCUGCCUGUCUAUCUGUCUGUCUCUCUGCCUGUCUCUCUGCCUAUCUCUCUGCCUGUCUCUCUAUCUCUGCCUGUCUAUCUGUCUGUCUCUCUGCCUGUCUCUCUGCCUAUCUCUCUGCCUGUCUCUCUAUCUCUGCCUGUCUAUCUGUCUGUCUCUCUGCCUGUCUCUCUGCCUAUCUCUCUGCCUGUCUCUCUAUCUCUGCCUGUCUAUCUGUCUGUCUCUCUGCCUGUCUCUCUGCCUAUCUCUCUGCCUGUCUCUCUAUCUCUGCCUGUCUAUCUGUCUGUCUCUCUGCCUGUCUCUCUGCCUAUCUCUCUGCCUGUCUCUCUAUCUCUGCCUGUCUAUCUGUCUGUCUCUCUGCCUGUCUCUCUGCCUAUCUCUCUGCCUGUCUCUCUAUCUCUACCUGUCUCUCUGUCUGUCUCUCUGCCUGUCUCUCUGCCUGUCUCUCUGCCUAUCUCUCUGCCUGUCUCUCUGCCUAUCUCUCUGCCUGUCUCUCUAUCUCUGCCUGUCUAUCUGUCUGUCUCUCUGCCUGUCUCUCUGCCUGUCUCUCUAUCUCUGCCUGUCUAUCUGUCUGUCUCUCUGCCUGUCUCUCUGUCUCUCUGCCUGUCUCUCUGCCUAUCUCUAUGCCUGUCUCUCUGCCUAUCUCUCUGCCUGUCUCUCUGUCUCUCUGCCUGUCUCUCUGCCUAUCUCUCUGCCUGUCUCUCUAUCUCUCUGCCUAUCUAUCUGUCUAUCUCUCUGCCUGUCUCUCUGCCUAUCUCUCUGCCUGUCUUUCUAUCUCUCUGCCUAUCUAUCUGUCUAUCUCUCUGCCUGUCUCUCUGCCUAUCUCUCUGCCUGUCUCUCUAUCUCUCUGCCUAUCUAUCUGUCUAUCUCUCUGCCUGUCUCUCUGCCUAUCUAUCUGUCUAUCUCUCUGCCUGUCUCUCUAUCUCUCUGCCUGUCUAUCUGUCUAUCUCUCUGCCUGUCUGUCUGUAUCUGUGUUUGUGUCUGUCUGUCUGUCUUUCUGCCUGCCUGUCUGUCUGUAUCUGUGUUUGUGACUAUCUGUCUGUCUGUCUGUCUGUCUGACUGUUUGUCUCUGUCUGUCUGUCUGUCUGUCUUCUUGCCUUCAUUGUGCUGCCGCCUCUUUUGAGCUGUUUUUGCUGAGCAACACAUUUAUGUUUGUUUAGCUCACGGCCGUUUAGCUCCGCCCAC